rnacentral:rRNA from 1 species
GAUGAACGCUGGCGGCGUGCCUAAUACAUGCAAGUCGAGCGAACAGACGAGGAGCUUGCUCCUCUGACGUUAGCGGCGGACGGGUGAGUAACACGUGGAUAACCUACCUAUAAGACUGGGAUAACUUCGGGAAACCGGAGCUAAUACCGGAUAAUAUAUUGAACCGCAUGGUUCAAUAGUGAAAGACGGUUUUGCUGUCACUUAUAGAUGGAUCCGCGCCGCAUUAGCUAGUUGGUAAGGUAACGGCUUACCAAGGCAACGAUGCGUAGCCGACCUGAGAGGGUGAUCGGCCACACUGGAACUGAAACACGGUCCAGACUCCUGCGGGAGGCAGCAGUAGGGAAUCUUCCGCAAUGGGCGAAAGCCUGACGGAGCAACGCCGCGUGAGUGAUGAAGGUCUUCGGAUCGUAAAACUCUGUUAUUAGGGAAGAACAAAUGUGUAAGUAACUAUGCACGUCUUGACGGUACCUAAUCAGAAAGCCACGGCUAACUACGUG